CCUCAGUUGUGAGCUCUCAGUCCUCUAAUCUGAGACAGCUGGACCUGAGCAACAAUGACCUACAGGAUUCAGGAGUGAAGCUUCUGUGUGUUGGAGUCGCAAGUCAACACUGCAAAAUAGAAACACUAAGACUUACUGACUGUAACCUGACAGAGACAAGCUGUGAAGAUCUGUCCUCAGUUGUGAGCUCCCAGUCCUCUUGUCUGAGAGAGUUGGACCUGAGUAAUAAUGACCUACAGGAUUCAGGAGUGAAACUUCUGUGUGUUGGAGUAGCAAAUCAACACUGCAAACUGGAAAUUCUAAGGCUAAAUGGCUGUAACCUGUCAGAUUCAAGCUGUGAAGCUCUGUACUUAGUUAUCCGCACACAAUCAUCUAGUCUCAGAGAGCUUGAUCUGAGUAACAACAACCUGCAGGAUUCAGCAUUGAACAUACUGAAGACUCCAAACUCAACAAUUAUCAGGUCAGAUCAAGAUUAUUUUUCUUUUAAA